GUGGUCGUAGCUCAAUUGGUAGAGCUCCAGAUUGUGGAUCUGGCGGUUACGGGUUCGAUCCCCGUCGAUCACC
rfam:Candidatus Kaiserbacteria bacterium RIFCSPLOWO2_12_FTLL_53_8 rifcsplowo2_12_scaffold_94340, whole genome shotgun sequence.